rnacentral:rRNA from 1 species
GCUAAGACUGGAUAGGAAGAAAUAAGGCAUCUUUUUUCUUUUAAAAGACCUAGUGAUAGGUAUACUUUAGGAGGGGCUUGCGCCAUAUUAGUUAGUUGGUAGGGUAAUGGCCUACCAAGACGAUGAUGUGUAGCUGGACUGAGAGGUUGAACAGCCACAUUGGGACUGAGACACGGCCCAAACUCCUACGGGAGGCAGCAGUAGGGAAUUUUCGGCAAUGGAGGAAACUCUGACCGAGCAACGCCGCGUGAACGACGAAGUACUUUGGUAUGUAAAGUUCUUUUAUCAAGGAAGAAAAGCAAGUGGUGAACCAUUUGUUUGCCGGUACUUGAUGAAUAAGCCCCGGCUAAUUAUGUGCCAGCAGCCGCGGUAAGACAUAAGGGGCAAGUGUUAUCCGGAAUUAUUGGGCGUAAAGGGUGCGUAGGCGGUCUAGUAAGUCAGUGGUGUAAUGGCAACGCUCAACGUUGUCCGGCUAUUGAAACUGCUAAACUUGAGUUAGAUAGAGGCGAGUGGAAUUCCAUGUGUAGCGGUAAAAUGCGUAAAUAUAUGGAGGAACACCAGAGGCGUAGGCGGCUCGCUGGGUCUUAACUGACGCUGAGGCACGAAAGCGUGGGGAGCAAACAGGAUUAGAUACCCUGGUAGUCCACGCCGUAAACGAUGAGUACUAAGUGUCGGGUUAAACCGGUACUGAAGUUAACACAUUAAGUACUCCGCCUGAGUAGUACGUACGCAAGUAUGAAACUUAAAGGAAUUGACGGGACUCCGCACAAGCGGUGGAUCAUGUUGUUUAAUUCGAAGAUACCCGAAAAACCUUACCAGGUCUUGACAUGUUUUUGCGAAACGGUAGUAAUAUCGUGGAGGUUAUCAGAAACACAGGUGGUGCAUGGUUGUCGUCAGCUCGUGUCGUGAGAUGUUAGGUUAAGUCCUAAAACGAGCGAAACCCUUAUCGUUAGUGGCCAGCACGUUAUGGUGGGGGACUUUAACGAGACUGCCAGUGAUAAAUUUGGAGGAAGGUGAGGAUCACGUCAAAUCAGCAUGCCCCUUAUGACCUGGGCUACAAACGUGAUACAAUGGCUGUUACAAAGGGUAGCUGAAACGCAAGUUCUUGGCCAAUCCCCAAAAACAGUCUCAGUCCGGAUUGAAGUCUGCAACUCGACUUCAUGAAGUUGGAAUCGCUAGUAAUCGCGAAUCAGCAUGUCGCGGUGAAUACGUUCUCGGGGUUUGUACACACCGCCCGUCA